rnacentral:piRNA from 1 species
UGAUCUUAUUUACUUAUGUACUUACUGAGCCU